UGGGGAAUUUUGGACAAUGGGCGAAAGCCUGAUCCAGCAAUGCCGCGUGUGUGAAGAAGGCCUUCGGGUUGUAAAGCACUUUUGUCCGGAAAGAAAUCCUUGGCUCUAAUACAGUCGGGGGAUGACGGUACCGGAAGAAUAAGCACCGGCUAACUACGUGCCAGCAGCCGCGGUAAUACGUAGGGUGCAAGCGUUAAUCGGAAUUACUGGGCGUAAAGCGUGCGCAGGCGGUUUGCUAAGACCGAUGUGAAAUCCCCGGGCUCAACCUGGGAACUGCAUUGGUGACUGGCAGGCUAGAGUAUGGCAGAGGGGGGUAGAAUUCCACGUGUAGCAGUGAAAUGCGUAGAGAUGUGGAGGAAUACCGAUGGCGAAGGCAGCCCCCUGGGCCAAUACUGACGCUCAUGCACGAAAGCGUGGGGAGCAAACAGGAUUAGAUACCCUGGUAGUCCACGCCCUAAACGAUGUCAACUAGUUGUUGGGGAUCAUUCCUUAGUAACGUAGCUAACGCGUGAAGUUGACCGCCUGGGGAGUACGUCGCAAGAUUAAAACUUAAAGGAAUUGACGGGGUCAUAGCUGUUUCCU
rnacentral:rRNA from 1 species